GAUGAACGCUGGCGGCGUGCCUAAUACAUGCAAGUCGAGCGAAUGGAUUAAGAGCUUGCUCUUAUGAAGUUAGCGGCGGACGGGUGAGUAACACGUGGGUAACCUGCCCAUAAGACUGGGAUAACUCCGGGAAACCGGGGCUAAUACCGGAUAACAUUUUGAACCGCAUGGUUCGAAAUUGAAAGGCGUCUUCGGCUGUCACUUAUGGAUGGACCCGCGUCGCAUUAGCUAGUUGGUGAGGUAACGGCUCACCAAGGCAACGAUGCGUAGCCGACCUGAGAGGGUGAUCGGCCACACUGGGACUGAGACACGGCCCAGACUCCUACGGGAGGCAGCAGUAGGGAAUCUUCCGCAAUGGACGAAAGUCUGAGGGAGCAACGCCGCGUGAGUGAUGAAGGCUUUCGGGUCGUAAAACUCUGUUGUUAGGGAAGAACAAGUGCUAGUUGAAUAAGCUGGCACCUUGACGGUACCUAACCAGAAAGCCACGGCUAACUACGUGCCAGCAGCCGCCGUAA
rnacentral:rRNA from 1 species